rnacentral:lncRNA from 1 species
CAGCCGGGACUGCUGGACAGCGGGGUCCAGGCUAGAGGCGAGCGAGCGGUCAGUGACGGCUGUGGAGGAGGGAGGCGCUGGGCGUCAGCGCGGGACCCGAGCCUCUGGACCACUGAGCUGGGGGGCUGGCUGAGGUCCACCUCCUAACAAAUUAUUGGAAGGAAUAUGAGAAAAGUGUAGACAAAGCGGUCCUGGCUCUGCGUGUGCAGCUCCACCAGCAUGCACAUGGUGGACCACUGGGCUCUUCGGAGUGAAGAGAACUCCAGGUGCUUGUCCCUUGCCAGCGUGAGAAACGCAUCCCGACCAUCCAUCAGAUCGCAGGGGAUGAGAGGAUCAGGAUCAACAAUGGGAGGCAGGGAGUUGGCAGCAGGGCCAGCAAUGAGGCGGAUCACAAAGAAGACCUGAAAAACAGACAGUCUCUUUUUUUUGAGACAGGGCCUCGCUCUGUCAUCCAGGCUGGAAUGCAGUGGCGUGAUCUUGGCUCACUACAACCUCUGCCUCCUGGGCUCAAGCAAUUAUCCCACCAUGGCCUCCUGAAUAGCUGAGACCACAGGCCCACACCACCACACCUGGCUAAUUUCUGCAUUUUUUGUAGAGACGAGGCUUCGCCAUGUUGCCCAGGCUGGUCUCAAACUCCUAAGCUCAAGUGAUCUGCCUGCCUCAGCCUCCCAGAGUGCUGGGAUUACAGGUGUGAGCAGGUACAGCAGGCUGAGCACCAAUGAGACUGGCGAAUGCUGAGUUAGUUUCACCACCAUACGCCUCCUGUUCCUUUUCCUGCUUUACCUCUUUGGUCUCUUGAGACUGACUAUAAAUAGAACUGAAAUGCACAUCCUGUGAUUUUUUUCUCCUUCAUUCAGUAACUCCUUCAGAGUAACAAUGGUCUGGGUGAGGUAUAGCACCAUGCACAGUGGACAUUUUGCCUCAAGGCAGUCUACUUUAAGAUGCAAUCCAUGGUUUAACCUCAAUCUAAUUACAACAAACCAGACAAAUCCAAAUAUGGAGACAGUAUGAAAAACAACUGGCCUGGACUCAUGAAGGUCCCCUAUGCAACUUUCCUGUGUAACUUUUCCUACAGGUUUGGAAGGGAAUGGAAUGGAUAAAAAAUCUUAGUCUUUGUUGACAAAGCAAUAAAAUUCUUGUUCAUUGAAGUUUG